rnacentral:rRNA from 1 species
UACGAAGGGGGCUAGCGUUGCUCGGAAUCACUGGGCGUAAAGCGCACGUAGGCGGAUUUUUAAGUCAGGGGUGAAAUCCUGGAGCUCAACUCCAGAACUGCCUUUGAUACUGGGAAUCUCGAGUCCGGAAGAGGUGAGUGGAACUGCGAGUGUAGUGGUGAAAUUCGUAGAUAUUCGCAAGAACACCAGUGGCGAAGGCGGCUCACUGGUCCGGUACUGACGCUGAGGUGCGAAAGCGUGGGGAGCAAACAGG